rnacentral:tRNA from 1 species
GGGCGGUUAGCUCAAUUGGCUAGAGCGCCUGCCUUACACGCAGGAGGUUGGGGGUUCGAGUCCCUCACCGCCCA